CUUUGUUCUUACAGAAGCCAGGUUGAAGCUUCCCAGCACCCAAGUAGCCCCAUUCAAUGGGAAAUUCCAAACCAAGGCCUCCAAGAAGAUUUGCUAAUCAGAAAACCAUCGCUACACAGUUGCAAAGACACCUCCUUCUCCAAGACCUUCCCGGCCCUCACCACACCUACUAAGACUUGGAUCUCCACACUGAAAUGUGUCCUUUUGGCUUUCCAGCUCAACUCGCAAAAGUCAGUCAAACCCGAGUGGAAGCUUCUGCCAUGUUCUACAUCCUGUGCAGAAAAGAGCAUAAAUUCCAGAGACUCCAAACCUUGAAUUCAACGAAAACCAACCCCCAAGUAAAGGAGAAGAUGAUCAAGAUGGCUGGAGUCUGAACCUAGUCAACUGCUAGGAUGCAAACACACUGGUUCUGACUCUGCUCCCCCAAAUAUGAAUUAGGUACUGCUGUGUGCCAGACAUGCAACCAGGAGCUAGAGAUGCAAAAGGUCAUUGAGGAGUCCUGGCCCGGGAAGCCUACAGUCUGAGCUCACCUCUACACCCUGACCCUUUUAGGAAAUAGGCUGUUUCCCAAACUUCUGUUGUUGUG